rnacentral:misc_RNA from 1 species
AGUAGUGCCUUACAGAAUCAACCAACUCGCGUGUCUCUUUUUUGUUUUUUUUCGUUUUCUUCUGUGUGCAUGCUUUUGCCCAGCUCGCUUCCCCCCGCUUCCCCUCUUCUCCCUCCGCCCUCUCCCACGCCAUUUUUCUUCUACCCGUCCCCUUUUUUCUGCGCAACAAGAAGGCCAGUGACACUUGUGCGCGCACAUCUUGCUGUAGCUCCUCACUGCUAUUCUACAGUUUGUGCUUCCUCUUUGUUUCUCUAGCCUGAGCAUCUCACGCCGUCGUCACCAUCUUUGCUUGAAACACCUUCAGGUCGUUUUUUUUUACCUUGGGACUUCCUGUGAAGCCCACCAACUCCGCGCAGACGAGACACAACUACGUCGGAGGUGCAAGCUGCUGCAAUGGCCGCGCCGGGCCUAUGGGUGUGCUCGAACUGCUCUGUGGAGCAGAUGGCGGAGACUACCUACUGCCACAUGUGCAAGUUCGCCCGGCCAAUGGAUCGCCGCGGUGUGCCGCAGAUUUUUUCUGGAUACAACAUCCACUUCAACGGCAUCAUCCCUCGCACGAUCAUGCACCCGAGCCACUCGGUGGAGUGGCGCAUGGCAGAGCGCCACGGUGCUACCUGCUGCACGAGCUUCGACCCCGCAGUAGUCAGCAUUCUUGUCUACCGCCCCGGCUAUGAGCGCAGCGAGAAGUGCCGCACCUGCCUUGAACACCACCCGAACAUUCCGUGCGUCCCGAUCGCGUGGCUGCUGGACUCGCUCCUACAGUCGCGCCAGAUUCAUCCCUCACUCUACCGCCUGACGCGUUUGCUGCCCGUGGCAAACCCGACGGUAGGCGGCACCGACCUGCCUCACCACCAGCACCCAUUCUACCAGAUCAACAAGUCAGAGUACAGCAUCCCCACCUCCUUCCCCCCCUCCAAGAACAAGGGGCCCAAGAAGUCCGCGGCGGCUGAGGGUGCGAAUAACCAGAAUGAGGUGCCGGGCGAAAUGGAGGCGGCUAUUCCGCCUUUCUUCGAUAUCGAACCGUUCCGGUGCACAGCUAUGUCAGUCUUCGACGCGGCGGUGGCGUGCGCGACCGGCGUGAAAACCGAGGCUGUCGACGACGACAACGACAAGAUCGAGGCUCGCAAAACGAAGCCCGGCAUUGAGCUCAUUGCCGCGCAGCAGCCGAGCAACAAGGUGGACCGAGCGCUUUUCAGCGGCAUGAAUGUGGUGCUCACGCCAUCCCUGCAGGGGCAGACGGCGGUUGUGAUGACUAUUCAGCGAUGCGGUGGGAAGAUUGCAGAGAAGCGGGAAUCGCUGGAGGCGACGCUGCGGAAUAAUGUGACUCACGUCAUCUACUCCCACGAGGACAAGAAGGAUGAUGUCAUGAUCCAGGCAGCGCACCUUAUCAGUACCAACCUCCCCGGGCUUCAGCUGGCUCAAUCGAACUGGCUGGAGGACUGCCUCAUCCUUGGUGAGCUGUUGCCGCUUCGCGGCAUGUACACUCCGACCGCAAAGCUGCUAGAGACGCUCAACAAGAAGUACACGAAGGCAAGAAGCUGAGCCCUCUGAUACUCGGUUUUCGUCCCUUGCUUGUGUGUGUUCAUGGCUGCACUCAAGGAUCCCUGUGCGCCCACUGCCGUGUCGCGUGUGCGUAUGUGCUUUCUUCUUUUGUGAUUCACACUCUUUGCUUUUCCUUCAUUGCCAAUGUCGUAGGUGGGUGGCGGGAGGAGGCGUUCUUCCCUCCGCCCCCGCGUCAGUGCGUGCGUGAAGCCGCAUAGUGGGCCCACUUUGUGAAUGCGCGUUGUGUGUGUGCGUGUAUCUCUUUCUGGUCUCCAUUUCUUCUGCCGCUCCUCGCCGAUAUAUCGUGCAGCUGCGUCAUGUUAGUCCCCCUCCUCCUCCCCCUUUUCAGGUGUUUCUAUUUCGUCUUCGAGGCUUUAAACUUCUCCUGUACCGCCGCUGUUUCAGGUCACGCAAGAACGAUGAUGGGAACCUGCCAUCACUGACGCCGUCUUCCAGGACGGCCUGUUCUUAUGUUCCUACCCUCUUUUUCCACCCCUCCAGAACACUUUUGCAUGGCAAAAAGCGUGGAUGUAGUGGCGAGUGCGUGUUCACUCUUUUUACUGAUUUUAUGUGGCUUUCGUUGUCUUUGUGCGCCACUCCUGCUGCUUUCUGUUUUGCGCAUUCUGCUGAGAUCUUGCGUUGUCGCGGGGGGGGGUGUUGCGCACGAUGGCCGCACGCCUCCCCUUCACGGAUGUGCGAGCAGGGGGAAGGUGCCCUCCAUUCAAGGACGAUGAUGACCGGCGCGGAUUUUGUGAACCCACCCUCCCCGUUUUGCGCUUCUGCCGUCAAGGGAUUUCCCUAGUCCGGUGCUUUUGUAUCUGCGUGCGUGUGAAUUGUGAAUUGAAUGAGUGAGAACGCUGCGGGCAGUCAGGGAGACGAGGGAUGAGCCCCUUCCGGUGCGUGUGUGCUGUGAGGAAGUCGACAUCUGUUGCUGGGCAGCUCGCUAUGGAAUCGCAGCGAGCACAUACGAGCACCAAGGGAGUCGGAAAAGACCUGAGGUGCUGCCGCGAUGCACAUGCGUUAGAUUCCAUGGACGAAUGCGCACAUUUAGGGAAGCGCGUAACGGAGUCGGUGCCCUUUCUGUUUGAAUUUUCGGUUUCGAGGUAGGUAUGCGCUGCCUCACACGUUCUUAUGCCCGAGAAAGGCACAGAGACCAACCCUUGCGAGGCGGUGCAGCCCGAGGAACACGACACAGGAAGGGGGAAUAGAAAGAGGAGGUCUUUCCGUGCGAUCUCCAGCAGCAGCGACCGGAAACAGAAAACAAAUGGAAAUGCCUUGACUCACAGACUUCAUUGUAGAACACGGGCGGGUGGAGCCGCACUUCUUUUUCUUCACCUCUUUGUCUCUCUUUUUUUCUUAGUAUGCUGCCCAAGGACAUCGUUCCUUCCACGUUCCAAAACCCCUCCCCCACCGCCACCGCCACCAUCUCUCUCUGUUUUUUUUUUCCUUUCAUCAUCUACGUCUUUAGUGCCUUUUCUUUAUUUGCCUACUUCGUCAAUGUGUGUGCGUGCGCGUGCCUCUCUCCCUCUCUCUGUGGAGGAGGGGGGAGGGCAAACGUGUUGUGAGUUGGGGAUAGUUGACUGCUUGAGAGGAUUGGUCUGUGCGCGCAUCCUUGUUCUAUAGUCCUUUCCUCCUUUGGGUACCGUUCUCUUCAGUCUCUUUUUUCGUGUGUGUGUGUUGUCAUUUUCUUGCCACCGUCGCGGUUCUUCGUCUAUGUCUUUCUCCGUGUAUGCGUGCUUGCUGGUGUGCACGUGGGUACAUGCGUCGGUGCCGGUUGAUUCCAGAAUUUUGCGUUUUUUUUUCUACUUGUCUUCCCUCUUAGCCGAUCCUUCACGCGCUUGCUUUCAGACGACUAUCACGGAAGGUCACGUAACGG